UUCGAAACCAUGGGCAGUAGGGGCCUAACGGGUGAUCUCCGUUCGGUAAAACGCUGUCCGUGUCAAGCAAAGGCCAGGGUAUACCAGGGUGUGACAACCGGUAUACCCAAGACCGAGUAGCUGAGCAGCGUCAACAAAAGGCGUUGUAGAUCCGGAAGGUGGGGAAAGGAUUGAUGGGAUACACUGUCCUUCCUCAGUCUUGGGCUUCUCUAGAGACUAU
rnacentral:lncRNA from 1 species